UUCAUUGAUUAAAUUAAACUAAACUAACUAAAAGUUGGGUUUUUCUUUUCCGUAUUGCAAAAUAAUUUCAGGUAUUCCAACGGUAAAAAAAAACUGACGGUGUAACUUGGGCAUUAAAGUAUGUAAAUCAGAGCUCCAGCAGAUAAAUAUAAAUAUCUGGUUGUCUUAGUAACUGUUGUAUUUGCAACUCUACAGACAGAUUUUUGUCUUAAUUUUGAAUGUUGAGCCAUUUUAGACUUCAAACUUAACUGAACCUCAGAGAGUUCACACUUUAUACAUCAUAUGUUUUCAUAGUUGACAUCCAUCCAGCUUAGUAUAGGUUUCUUUUGUUAUUUUAAGGGAUCUUAAGGAGAGGAGACAUCAAACAAGUUGUUUCUCUAACAGAAGUUUCAGAUGGCCCCUGAGCUCAUAAAGGGAGAGAAAUAUAGGACUUACGUAUAAAGGAGAAGACAGUGUGUGUGAAUAGAAGAGUCAGGGUUCGGAGAAUGAACGGCCAGCGGGGGAGCGAUGACUCCGAGCUCGACUUUUCAACUUUCUAACUCCGCCAGGAAAUUCCUGGAGACUUUCUUAUCUGUAAGACUCAAAAAAGGUCAAACCUGCAACUCUUUCCAGUCGCAAAGCUCCCCUUAGUUUAGUUUUGCAAAAAAUGUUUUUGCUUAGAAAUAUUUUAAAGGGGACAUAUCAUGCUCA